UACGGGGGGGGCAAGCGUUGUUCGGAAUUACUGGGCGUAAAGGGCUCGUAGGUGGCCAACUAAGUCAGACGUGAAAUCCCUCAGCUUAACUGGGGAACUGCGUCUGAUACUGGAUGGCUUGAGUUUGGGAGAGGGAUGCGGAAUUCCAGGUGUAGCGGUGAAAUGCGUAGAGAUCGAGAGGAACACCUGAGGUGAAGACGGGUUGCUGGGCCGACACUGACGCUGAAGCGCGAAAGCUAGGGGAGCGAACGGG
rnacentral:rRNA from 1 species